GAUGAACGCUAGCUACAGGCUUAACACAUGCAAGUCGAGGGGAAACGACAUCGAAAGCUUGCUUUUGAUGGGCGUCGACCGGCGCACGGGUGAGUAACGCGUAUCCAACCUGCCCAUCACUUGGGAAUAACCUUGCGAAAGUAAGACUAAUACCCAAUGACAUCCCACGAAGACAUCUGAAUGGGAUUAAAGAUUUAUCGGUGAUGGAUGGGGAUGCGUCUGAUUAGCUUGUUGGCGGGGUAACGGCCCACCAAGGCAACGAUCAGUAGGGGUUCUGAGAGGAAGGUCCCCCACAUUGGAACUGAGACACGGUCCAAACUCCUACGGGAGGCAGCAGUGAGGAAUAUUGGUCAAUGGGCGAGAGCCUGAACCAGCCAAGUAGCGUGCAGGAGGACGGCCCUAUGGGUUGUAAACUGCUUUUAGAAGGGAAUAAAGUGGGUCUCGUGAGACUUUUUGCAUGUACCUUAUGAAUAAGGACCGGCUAAUUCCGUG
rnacentral:rRNA from 1 species